GAUGAACGCUGGCGGCGUGCCUAAUACAUGCAAGUCGAGCGAACGGACGAGAAGCUUGCUUCUCUGAUGUUAGCGGCGGACGGGUGAGUAACACGUGGAUAACCUACCUAUAAGACUGGGAUAACUUCGGGAAACCGGAGCUAAUACCGGAUAAUAUUUUGAACCGCAUGGUUCAAAAGUGAAAGACGGUCUUGCUGUCACUUAUAGAUGGAUCCGCGCUGCAUUAGCUAGUUGGUAAGGUAACGGCUUACCAAGGCAACGAUGCAUAGCCGACCUGAGAGGGUGAUCGGCCACACUGGAACUGAGACACGGUCCAGACUCCUACGGGAGGCAGCAGUAGGGAAUCUUCCGCAAAGGGCGAAAGCCUGACGGAGCAACGCCGCGUGAGUGAUGAAGGUCUUCGGAUCGUAAAACUCUGUUAUUAGGGAAGAACAUAUGUGUAAGUAACUGUGCACAUCUUGACGGUACCUAAUCAGAAAGCCACGGCUAACUAUGUG
rnacentral:rRNA from 1 species